AGCCCGGCUCCGGGCAGGAUUAUCCGGCUGCCUGGGAGAGUGCAGCGCGAGCCAAGUGGGCAUGGAAGUGUCUCUGGGAGGAGGAGAAGCACCUCAGUGUCACCCUCAGUGCCUGAGCAAAGAGCUCUGGAAUGCUGUGAAGACUCCCUGCCCAGGCACACUCCUCUCCGGAUUAUCUCCAUCCCAAGGAAGCUCGUAUCCAAGAGAGUUCCCGGUCUUCCACCAUGAAUCCUGUUUACAGCCCCGUCCAACCUGGGGCUCCCUACGGAAACCCGAAGAACAUGGCCUAUACAGGUACAACAGGGCUUGUGGCUUUCCCUGAAUGUCUGUGUG